GAGAAACGGAUGGUGGAAUUAUUUAUGAUUCCCGGGAAGGGAAUGAACACACCUGUUCGUACGCGGGACACGGCAGCACCGCUCCCGAGGGGAGAGCCUCGCAGCUGCAGCCCCGCACGAAGCCGGCGCAUCAGUCCUGCUGUGAAAGAAGCUGGUGCAGCCCUACACCGCCAGCCCUAAGUGCUUGAAUGAAAGCUUUCCCACUGCAGGCCUUGGAAGCCGUCCAGAUUCUUCAGCAGCAGACAGUUACAUACAAGUGAUCCUGCUUUUGGAAGAACACACUGGAGAUGAUGUCAUUACUGCAUAUUUCUCCCUUAAAAUUACUGAAAUCGGAAGCAUGCAUUCUCAGUGGUGCUCUCACUGCAGUGACUAAACUUCAGCCAAGAGGGAAACAGCAAGAGCAGGGAAGAGUGGUAUCAACAGGAGAAGACAAAAUACUUUUUCACCUACCCACUCCGCAAAGUGUGUCAAAAAUGCUGCCUCUAAUGCCAAUGUAAGACUCACAUCCACAGACCUGAAGAAAUAGGCACAAUUUUCA